rnacentral:rRNA from 1 species
GACGAACGCUGGCGGCGUGCUUAACACAUGCAAGUCGAACGGAAAGGCCCUGCUUGCUGGGUACUCGAGUGGCGAACGGGGGAGUAACACGUGGGUGAUCUGCCCUGCACUUCGGGAUAAGUCUGGGUAACUGGGUCUAAUACCGGAUAGGAGCUAUAUCUAGUGUGAGGGUUGGAGAGUUUUUUCGGUGUCGGAUGAGCUCGCGGCCUAUCCGCAUGAUGGUGGUGUAAUGGCUUACCAAGGCGGCGACGGGUAGCCGGCCCGGGAGGGUGGACGGGAACAGUGAGACUGAGAUUGGGCCCAGACCCCGACGCGAAGGAGAGGCAGGGGAGAGGACUCUAGGAGAGUGAGCCUGAGGCAGCGACAGCGAGGGGGGGAGAAAGACGUUCGGGUUAGAGACGUAAUGCGCUAUGAACGAAGCUGUUAGUGACGGUACCGAGAUAAGAAGCACCGGCUAACUACGUG